UGUGGUACAGUUUAGUGGUAAAAUGCUUGCCUAGCACAUGUGAGGCCCUGGGUUCAAUUCCCACUACUACAA
rnacentral:tRNA from 1 species